rnacentral:rRNA from 1 species
AGAGUUUGAUCCUGGCUCAGGAUGAACGCUGGCGGCGUGCCUAAUACAUGCAAGUCGAACGCACCAUUUCGGUGGUGAGUGGCGAACGGGUGAGUAAAAGAUAAGUAACCUGCCCUAGGCAGGGGGAUAACGACCGGAAACGGACGCUAAAACCGCAUAGGCUGGGAGAUCGCAUGAGAAUCCAGUUAAAUGUCCUGAAAGGGACAGGCAAAGGAGGGACUUAUCACGCAUUAGCUAGUUGGUGGGCAACGGCCUACCAAGGCGACGAUGCGUAGCCGGCCUGAGAGGCGGACGGCCACACUGGGACUGAGACACGGCCCAGACUCCUACGGGAGGCAGCAGUAGGGAAUUUUCGGCAAUGGGCGAAAGCCUGACCGAGCAACGCCGCGUGAACGAAGAAGGUCUUCGGAUUGUAAAGUUCUGUUAUAGAGGAAGAACGGUGUACGUAGGAAAUGACGUACAAGUGACGGUACUCUGUGAGGAAGCCACGGCUAACUACGUGCCAGCAGCCGCGGUAAUACGUAGGUGGCGAGCGUUAUCCGGAAUCAUUGGGCGUAAAGAGGGAGCAGGCGGCCUGGAGGGUCUAUUGUUAAAAGGCAGUGGCUUAACCAUUGCAAGGCGAAGAAACCGGCAGGCUAGAGUUCUAAAGAGGAUCGUGGAAUUCCAUGUGUAGCGGUGAAAUGCGUAGAUAUAUGGAGGAACACCAGUGGCGAAGGCGACGAUCUGGGAAGAAACAGACGCUGAGUCCCGAAAGCGUGGGGAGCAAAUAGGAUUAGAUACCCUAGUAGUCCACGCCGUAAACGAUGAGUACUAAGUGUUGGGGGUCAAACCUCAGUGCUGUAGUUAACGCAAUAAGUACUCCGCCUGAGUAGUACGUUCGCAAGAAUGAAACUCAAAGGAAUUGACGGGGGCCCGCACAAGCGGUGGAGCAUGUGGUUUAAUUCGAAGCAACGCGAAGAACCUUACCAGGUCUUGACAUCGAUCUAAAGGCCCUAGAGAUAGGGAGAUAGUUAUAGAGAAGACAGGUGGUGCAUGGUUGUCGUCAGCUCGUGUCGUGAGAUGUUGGGUUAAGUCCCGCAACGAGCGCAACCCUUGUCGUUAGUUACCAGCAGUAAGAUGGGGACUCUAACGAGACCGCCGGUGAGAAGCCGGAGGAAGACGGGAUGACGUCAAAUCAUCAUGCCCCUUAUGACCUGGGCGACACACGUGCUACAAUGGUCGGUACAGAGAGAAGCGAAGCUGUGAAGUGGAGCGAACCUCAAAAAGCCGAUCGUAGUCCGGAUUGCAGUCUGCAACUCGACUGCAUGAAGCUGGAAUCGCUAGUAAUCGCAAGUCAGCCAUAUUGCGGUGAAUACGUUCUCGGCCUUGUACACACCGCCCGUCACACCAUGAGAGUCGGAACACCCGAAGUCGUAGUCUAACCGCAAGGAGGACGCCGCCGAAGGUGGGGUUGAUGAUUAGGGUUAAGUCGUAACAAGGUAGCCGUAUCGGAAGGUGCGGCUG